AAAUCAGUUUUAUCUAAAGUUAUUAUAAAAUCAGUUUUAAAAAUUCAUGAUAACUCAAAAAUAAACAUUAUCUAUUUAUAUAUCUUUACCUUAUAAAUAGUAGACUUAAACAUUCUAAACAAUCAGAGUUCAUUCUAAACAAGCAGUGAUGGAAGGGAGAAGUCUAAUCUAUUUGGAUGAUAUUAAUAGGCUUUUUAGUUUAUAGCACUUACAGUUUUAACAUUAGCAUUAAACCCUUUCACUCGCUUUAGAAUGAAGGUGUUACAACUUGCAAAGAAUGAAAAUCUUUAUGUGUUGGUAAAUUGGAUGUUUUGAAUAUGCAUUUGGAAGUAGCCAUGUGUUUUUUUUUUGGUUAGUCGAAUGAUCGAAUCAAAUCAUCAGUUGUAAUAAAAUACAACCAUAGUUGUAAAUUGCGAAUAGCGACAAGUGACCUAUAUGCUACAUAGCGAAUAACGACAAAUAGUCACCGUUGUUUUAUAAAUAGCGAUACACUAGGAAAAUUUUUUGAAAUUUUUUAUAUGUAUAUUAUAUCAAAAUACCUUGAUAUAUAUGCUAUUUUACAUUUAUAUUUAAUGAAAACCUAUAAUCCAGCUAUUUUAUAGCUAUAUCUAAUUCUAUUUAUAUCAAAAAAAAUUAACUAUCGCUAUUCUUGCUAUCAGUCGCCAGCGACACCACAUCGCUUCGCUGUGUAGCGAUCGCUAUAGCCGCUAUUGACAACUAUGAAUACAACUGUAGGAUAGAUAUGGAUAUGCUUUUUGUUCUUUGAAGUAAUAUGGUAUAGAUAAACAACUAUUUGAUUGUUUAGCAAACUUUAAUUGUUAAAAUAGUUAAUGUAUAAAAAAUAACUAAACAUGUUUUCAAAAAAAGGAGGUACUUAUUCUGAAAUGAGAGUUAAAGCUUCUCAGAGUCGGUUAAAAGAAUGGUCGUUAGGUUUUAUAUUUUCACACCCUUUGGGAACAGUCUAAACUUACUAAAUGUUUUACAUUUCAUGCCAGAGGUUAAGUGGACCACCGGGAACAACAAUGGACUGGCAAGGAGCUCCAGCAAGUCCAAGUGCUUACACCGUGAAGAGAAUCUUGCGGUUAGAGAUACCAGUUGACACUUAUCCAAAUUUUAAUUUCGUUGGAAGACUUCUUGGUCCUAGAGGCAAUUCACUAAAACGGAUCGAGGGUACAACAGGUUGUCGGGUGUAUAUUACUGUAAUGGAAUAUUUGGAGAUAUUUUGACUAUUUGUAUAUUUUGUUAAUUAUCAUUGUAUAUUUUACCAUCCCUUAUUUAAGUUUAUUUUAUUUCAAUUAA